GACGAACGCUGGCGGCGUGCUUAACACAUGCAAGUCGAACGGAUUGCUUGGUGCUUGCACUGAGUGGUUAGUGGCGAACGGGUGAGUAACACGUGAGUAACCUGCCCCCUUCUUUGGGAUAAGCACCUGAAAGGGUGUCUAAUACUGAUUAUUCUGCUGGAAUCGCAUGGUUUUGGUUGGAAAGGUUUUUUCUGGUGGGGGAUGGGCUCGCGGCUUAUCAGGUUGUGGGUGGGGUAAUGGCUUACCAAGGCUUUGACGGGGAACCGGCCUGAGGGGGUGAGCGGUCACAUUGGGACUGGGAGACGGCGCAGACUCCUACGGGAGGCAGCAGUGGGGAAUAGUGCACGAUGGACGAAAGUCUGAUGCAGCGACGCCGCGUGAGGGAUGAAGGCCUUCGGGUUGUAAACCUUUUUCGCUUUUGACCAAGGCAGCAUUUUGGUGUUGUUGAGGGUAUGAGGUAAAGAAGCUCCGGCUAACUACGUGCCAGCCGCCGCCGUAAAAC
rnacentral:rRNA from 1 species